AAACUAGCACUCCUGGAAUUGAAUGUGUUUAAAACAGCCUUCUAGUAUUUUCCAUCAGUUGGUAGUACAAUACAAAAUGUCUGAUUCAUUAUGAGUCAGUCUCUUCCAGUCAGACACCUAGAGGGGAAACAUCCUUGUCAGGUGUUGGCUAUAACAGGGGCUAUAACAGGGGUGAUACAGUUUCUGGUCAGGUGUUGGGCUAUAACAGGGGCUAUAACACGGGUGAUACAGUUUCUGGUCAGGUGUUGGGCUAUAACAGGGGCUAUAACAGGGGUGAUACAGUUUAUCUGGUCAGGUGCUGGGCUAUAACAGGGGCUAUAACAGGGGUGAUACAGUUUCUGGUCAGGUGUUGGCUAUAACAGGGGUGAUACAGUUUAUCUGGUCAGGUGUUGGGCUAUAACAGGGGCUAUAACAGGGGUGAUACAGUAUAUCUGGUCAGGUGUUGGGCUAUAACAGGGGUGAUACAGUUUAUCUGGUCAGGUGCUGGGCUAUAACAGGGGCUAUAACAGGGGCUAUAACAGGGGUGAUAUAGUAUAUCUGGUCAGGUGUUGGCUAUAACAGGGGUGAUACAGUUUAUCUGGUCAGGUGCUGGGCUAUAACAGGGGCUAUAACAUGGGGCUAUUAAUAUGGUUGAAUCUGGAAACUAUCAUCUCGAAAACAAAAGUUUUUUUCUUUCAGUGACAUACGGAACCGUUCCGUAUUUUAUCUAACGGGUGACUAAGUCUAAAUAUUCCUGUUAGGCAUCGAUGUUUAUGGUUAGGUACAUUGGUG
rnacentral:lncRNA from 1 species